CUACUCUUGACAUCUACAGAAGCUUGCGGAGACGCGAGUGUGCCUUCGGGAACUGUAAGACAGGUGCUGCAUGGCUGUCGUCAGCUCGUGUUGUGAAAUGUUGGGUUAAGUCCCGCAACGAGCGCAACCCUUAUCCUUGUUUGCCAGCGAGUCAUGUCGGGAACUCCAGGGAGACUGCCGGUGAUAAACCGGAGGAAGGUGGGGACGACGUCAAGUCAUCAUGGCCCUUACGAGUAGGGCUACACACGUGCUACAAUGGCGCAUACAGAGGGCAGCCAACUUGCGAAAGUGAGCGAAUCCCAAAAAGUGCGUCGUAGUCCGGAUUGGAGUCUGCAACUCGACUCCAUGAAGUCGGAAUCGCUAGUAAUCGUGAAUCAGAAUGUCACGGUGAAUACGUUCCC
rnacentral:rRNA from 1 species